GUGGGAUCAGAAGCAGGUCUAAGGACAAGGGCGCUGUCAGGGCGCCUCUCAGGUUUCUCUCUUGCUGGAACUGAAUGAAUAGGGGUGUCAUUCAUGGAAACGGGGUGUGGCAGGAAGUGGGACGUGAACCCCAGGAUCUCUUUUCUCCUUCCUCCCGUGACUGCAUCGAGUCCCCGUAUGGGCCACUUCAGACCCCCUCGGGCCCCUCUCCCUUUGGCUCCAGCUCUGCCAGGGCUCUGAAGGGGCUGCAGGCACCGCUGGCGGGACGGACCGGCGGACGGGCGGACCGGCGGACCGGCGGACGGGCGGACGGGCGGACCGGCGGACCGGCGGACCGGCGGACGGGCGGACCGGCGGACGGGCGGACGGCUCCGACCGCCGGCGCAGACCACGCCUCCUCCCCGCCCACGCUGGGGCUUCCUGUUGACAUGGCCGCUGCCUGGAGUCCUCGAAUUCCGAGGCAGAAAAACAAAAGGGAAAGUCAGUCAGCCGGACGCGCACACAGAUCCCCUCCCUGUUGGGUCACCGCAGAGCCCUGAGUAGGGUGGCCCCUGUUAUCCGGAAAUUGCCAACUCUUCACUUUCUUCACCCUCCCCCCGCCCUUGGUCUGGAACACGAUGGCCCAGGUGAGUCAGCUUUGAGCGGGUGGAGGAAGACAACAUCUGCGGGAGUGGGAAGCAACUGGGCCGCUCCUGGAGGAGAACUGAGCUGCUCGCCUGCCUCUCCGUCUCACAGCUCGGCCUGCACUGUAACCCGCAGGUAGGACAGAGAGGAGGAAGGCCAGAUCUGGGGGAAGCCCAGGAGUCCAGCUUCAGACAGUCUAUAUUUGAGUAGCCUUUGAGAGAUCCAAGUGAAAUGGCAGCUGAUCAGUCAGACAUGAACCUGGAACUCAGAAAGGAGGUUUCGACUGCAAAUAUGAGUUUGUAAGUCAUCUCCCUCUCUCGUGUGGCUGGUAAUUAAAGUUUAAACGCAUCCAAGGUGCAGGGAGAAGAGAAGGGAGCCUGUGGCAGGCAGCUGCUAGGAUGGCCACGGUAUAAUCUCCACCUCCCUGUAAAGAACCUGUCAGUACCGGAGACAUAAGAGACACGGGUUCGAUCCCUGGGUUAGGAAGAUCACCUGGAGGAGGGCAUGGCAACCCACUCCGGUAUUCUUGCCUGGAGAAGCCCGUGGACAGCGGAGCCUGGUGGGCUACAGUCCAUAGCAUCACAGACAUGACUGAGGUGACUUAGCAUACAAACAAUAUCUCUUAAAUGUGGGCUGGAGCUACUGGCUUGCUUCUAAAAAACAAAGGAUAGUAAAAGUGAUGGGUUGUCCUUGCCAGGAUUAGAUUACAAAGUCUGGCUUCCACCUUGGCUGUCCUUUCCUCCAGUCACUUGGUUUGAGGGAUGCCCACCAUGGUGCAAGCUGCCCUAUAGAUGGACCCACAUGGCAAGGACCCAGGGAGACCUCUGACCAACAGCCAAUGGGAGCCUGACACCCUCCGUCCAACAUCCUGUGAAAAGACGACUCCUGCCAAUAACCACGUGGAGGAGACCGAAAGCAGCUUCUAUGGUCUUGGUGGAGAUUUCGGGUGAUGACUCAGCUCCAGGCAAUAUCUUCACGGCUGGUGAGAUUCCUGCCAGGAGACACCUAGCUGUACAAGAGGCAGACUCCUGACCCAGGGAAGCGGAUCAUGAAAGCCUGCUCUCUAAGCUGCUGAGUUUGAGGGUCCUUUGUUUCUCAGCAACUGAAAAUGAAGGCAGAGUCCAGGCCGGGGCCUUGAGGACCCCUCUCAGUGGCGGGCAGAGAGGAACGCACCUGCAGAGGAGGGGAAGGAGGUGGUCCACGUGGGUGUCCUGUCACCGCAUCCAGGAGCAGAGGACAGUUCAAGGAGGAGGGAACAGUUGAUGAUGGUGGGAUGCUGCUGACAGAUGGACUAAGAUGAGAGAAAAAUACCUGACGGACACAGAGACGUGGAAAUCCCUGCUGACCUUAGAAAUAAGCUGCUCCUUCAGGACAAAUGGGCAUGGAAAACCUGUUUAAAGUCGCUGAGGAGAAAGUUGGAAAUGUCCAAAACUUUUACUAGAACUUUGGCGGGGAAAGCAAAAAGAAUCAGAGCAGCGAUUGGAGCCGGAUGGAGCUUUUUUUUCUUUAGUGGCAAAAACUUGAGUUUAAAAGCCAGUGGGGACUUCCCAGAUUACAGGGUGAGGGGUUCUGCCAGCCCCCCAGGAAAGAAGCUUAACUAAUGACAGUUACUAAACCCAGCUACUUCAAGUCCCUGGGAGUUGUCCUACAGGAGGACAGCAAGUGAAGAAACAGUUAUUCAAGAACUAAAUCUCAUGGAGAACAGUAAGCAUCUGUGAGACUUGAACUAUAACACAUUCCCUCUCUCCACGUCUCAACAAAACAACGGCAGCUCCAAUCUGAACAGCUGUGCUUAAAACAUGAGCCCUCCUACCCCCUUAGUUCCCAGUCAAGGUGUAAACUGUUUCACUGUGAAAGGCAAACAACUGUCGUUUCUCAUUUCCCCAAACUCCAAGUUGUAGAAGCAAAACUCCUGGCCUAUGCGAUCGUGCUAAAUCACUUCAGUCGUCCGACUCUGCGACCCCGUGGACCGUAGCCCGUCAGGCUCCUCUGUCCGUGGGAUUCUCCAGGCAAGAAUACUGGCGUGGGUUGCCUUGCUCUCCUCCAGGAGAUGCAUGACCCAGGGAUGACCCAGGCAUUUCCUGUGACUUCAGGCAGAUUCUUUCCCGCUGAGCCACUCUUGGCAAAGGCAAUCAAAAUAUCAGGGUGCACUUACCCCCAGCAAGUCUUCAUCAUGAUCGGAGAGAGGCUCCAUGCCAGGCACUGCCAGCCAAGAAGAGGGGGACCCUGACUGCCCUCACCCGAGUUCACGUCAAGAGAGGCAACCGGAGGACUUCCCUGGUGAUGGAGUGGAUAAGAAUCCGCCUGCCAAUGUGGGGACAUAGGUUCAAUCCCUGGUCUGGGAACAUUCUGCUUUCCACAGAGCCACUAAGCCUGUGUACCACAACUACUGAGCCUGCGCUCUAGAGCCUCCGAGCCACAGCAACAGAGCCCACGUACUGAGAUGACUGGACCCUGAGUGCCCCAGAGCCUGUGCUCUGCAACAAGAGAAGCCGCCUCAAUGAGAGAGGCCUGUGCACUGCAACUAGAGAGUGGUCCCCGCUCCCCACACCUGGAGAAAAAGCGGCAGUGGCAUCAAAGACCAGCACAGCCAAAAAGUUUAUAAAUAAACUUACAUGGAAAAAAGAAAGGCGAGCUGAGAAGACUCGAGACCACCCUCUCUGCUCAGUGCCCUGCUCAUAAAUCAAGAGUGUCCUCUGAAAAAGUGGACCACGGUCCCUGCCCCCAGCUCUGGAGAAAGACUUCAGAGAUUUCACCCCAGAGGAAAGGCAGUAAGAAAUGGAGAGCUCCAUAAAGACAGACAGCACUGACAUUUAUUUCAGUGGGUAGAAUACAGCCUCCAUGAAUAAACCCUCACAUGUACAGUCAAUUGAUUUUUGGCAAGCGUGCCAAGACAAUUCAAUGGAGAAAGAAAAACCUUUUCAACAAAUAGUGCUAGAGAAUGGUACAAAGGAAUGCUGUUGAAUCCUUAUCUUAGGCCCGAUAGAAAAUGAACUCACAGCAGUGUGUGCACGCAUGCGUGCGCAGUUGCUUCCGUUGUGUCCACCUCUGUGACUCCAGGGACGGCAGCCCACCAGGCUCCUCUGUCCAUGGGAUUUUCCAGGCAAGAAUACUGGAAUGGGUUUGCCAUUUCCUCCUCCUGGGGAUCUUCCCAACCCAGGGUUUAAAUUCCCACCUCCUGCAUCUCCUACAUUGGCACAAGGAGUCUUUACCACUGAGCCACCCGGGAAGCCAAGUCACAAUGGGCCAAUAUCUAAAUCUAAGAGCUAAAUCUAUGACGUUGUUCAUAGAAAACGUAGGAGUAAAUCUCAUGACCUUGGAUUAGGCAACAGUUUCUUACUAUGACACCAAAGCACAGACUGCAACAUCAACAAAGCCCCAAAAUGGGUAAAUUGGGUUUCAUGCAAAAUUUAAAACUUCCUUGCAUGUUUUUAUCCAUGAAAAAAAAAACCACCAUCAAGAAAGCAAAAAGACAACCCCUAGAACAGGAGAAAAUGUUUGUAGUCAUAUUGCCAAUAAGAGGCUUGUAUCUAGAAUAUAAUAAAGAACUAUUACAACUCAAUAAUGGAAAGAUAAAUGACCCAAUUAAAAACUGGCAAAGGAUCUUCACAGGCAUUUUUCCAAAGAAGAUAUAGAAAUGGCCAAUAACCACGUGGAAAGAUAAUCAACCUCAUUAUCCAUCAAGAAAAUGCAAAGCAAAACCACAAUGAGAUACCAUUUCACACUCACAAGGAGGGCUGUAAUCAAAAAGGGAGAUGAUAACAAGUGUUGGCAAGGAUGUAGAGAAAUUGAAAACCUCACGCACUGCUGGUGGGAAUGUAAAAUAAUGCAGCCACUUUGGAAAACUAUCUGGCAGUUCCUCAAAAUUA